rnacentral:rRNA from 1 species
UGGGGAAUAUUGGACAAUGGGCGCAAGCCUGAUCCAGCCAUGCCGCGUGAGUGAUGAAGGCCUUCGGGUUGUAAAGCUCUUUAGCAGGGGAAAAUAAUGAUGGUACCCUGAGAAUAAGCCCCGGCUAACUCCGUGCCAGCAGCCGCGGUAAUACGGAGGGGGCUAGCGUUGUUCGGAAUUACUGGGCGUAAAGCGAGCGCAGGCUGUGUAUCAAGUCAGGGGUGAAAUCCCGGAGCUUAACUCCGGAAUUGCCUUUGAAACUGAUACGCUAGAGUCUGGAAGAGGGUGGUGGAAUUCUUAGUGUAGCGGUGAAAUGCGUAGAUAUUAAGAGGAACACCAGUGGCGAAGGCGGCCACCUGGUCCAGUACUGACGCUAUAGCUCGAAAGCGUGGGGAUCAAA